rnacentral:rRNA from 1 species
GUCUUUUUGAUUUUAAUUUUAAGUCUAGCCUGCCCACUGAAUAUUUAAAUGGCCGCAGUAUUUUGACUGUGCAAAGGUAGCAUAAUCAUUAGUUUCUUAAUUAGAAGCUGGAAUGAAAGGUUGAACGAGAAAAUAACUGUCUCUUUAUAAAUUUUUUAGAAUUUUAUUUUUAAGUUAAAAAGCUUAAAUAUAUUUAAAAGACGAGAAGACCCUAUAGAGUUUUAUAUAAUUUUUUUUAAUUUUUAAUUUGAAUUAUUAAAAUUUUAGAUAAAAUUAUAUUUAGUUGGGGUGAUUGGAAAAUUUAAUAAACUUUUUUUAAAAAAAAACAUUAUUUUAUGAAUAUUUGAUCCAUAAUUUAUGAUUAUAAGAUUAAAUUACCUUAGGGAUAACAGCGUGAUUUCUUUGAAGAGUUCAAAUCGAUAAAGAAGGUUGCGACCUCGAUGUUGGAUUAAAAUUUAAUUUUGGUGUAGAAGCUAAAAAUUUUAGGUCUGUUCGACCUUUAAAAUUUUACAUGAUCUGAGUUUAAACCGGUGUGAGCCAGGUUGGUUUCUAUCUUUAAAUUAAAAUAAUACUUUAGUACGAAAGGACCAAGUAUUUAUAAAAUUUAU